UACGGAGGGUGCGAGCGUUGUUCGGAUUUAUUGGGCGUAAAGCGCGUGUAGGCGGUUUGAUAAGUCUGAUGUGAAAGCCCCGGGCUCAACCUGGGAAGUGCAUUGGAAACUGUCAGACUUGAAUACGGGAGAGGGUAGUGGAAUUCCUAGUGUAGGAGUGAAAUCCGUAGAGAUUAGGAGGAACACCGGUGGCGAAGGCGGCUGCCUGGACCGAUAUUGACGCUGAGACGCGAAAGCGUGGGGAG
rnacentral:rRNA from 1 species